rnacentral:rRNA from 1 species
UACGUAGGGCGCGAGCGUUGUCCGGAAUUAUUGGGCGUAAAGAGCUUGUAGGCGGUCUGUCGCGUCUGCUGUGAAAAUCCGGGGCUCAACCCCGGACUUGCAGUGGGUACGGGCAGGCUAGAGUGUGGUAGGGGAGACUGGAAUUCCUGGUGUAGCGGUGAAAUGCGCAGAUAUCAGGAGGAACACCGGUGGCGAAGGCGGGUCUCUGGGCCGUAACUGACGCUGAGGAGCGAAAGCGUGGGGAGCAAACAGG